rnacentral:rRNA from 1 species
CUGAACCAGCCAAGUAGCGUGAAGGAUGAAGGGUCCUACGGAUUGUAAACUUCUUUUAUACGGGAAUAAAGUUCCUACGUGUAGGAUUUUGUAUGUACCGUAUGAAUAAGCAUCGGCUAACUCCGUGCCAGCAGCCGCGGUAAUACGGAGGAUGCGAGCGUUAUCCGGAUUUAUUGGGUUUAAAGGGAGCGCAGACGGGAGAUUAAGUCAGUUGUGAAAGUUUGCGG